GUCGAGAAUCAUUCACAAUGGGGGAAACCCUGAUGGUGUGACGCCGCGUGGAGGAUGAAGGUCUUCGGAUUGUAAACUCCUGUCAUGUGGGAGUAAAGCCGGGUGUUAAAUGCAUGCCGGUCUGAGAGUACCACAAGAGGAAGGGACGGCUAACUCUGUGCCAGCAGCCGCGGUAAUACAGAGGUCCCAAGCGUUGUUCGGAAUCACUGGGCGUAAAGGGUGCGUAGGCGGCGCGGAAAGUCAGGGGUGAAAUCCCGGAGCUCAACUCCGGAACUGCCUUUGAUACUCCCGCGCUUGAGAACUGGAGGGGAGACCGGAAUUCACGGUGGAGCAGUGAAAUGCGUGGAUAUCGUGAGGAACACUAGUGGCGAAGGCGGGUCUCUGGACAGUAUCUGACGCUGAGGCACGAAGGCCAGGGGAGCGAACGGGAUUAGAAACCCUGGUAGUCC
rnacentral:rRNA from 1 species